AUGGGGGUGCCACAGGGUUCAAUUCUUGGACCGACUCUCUUCUCUGUAUACAUCAAUGAGGUUGCUCUUGCUGCUGGUGAGUCUCUGAUCCACCUCUACGCAGACGACACCAUUCUGUAUACUUCUGGCCCUUCUUUGGACACUGUGUUAACAACCCUCCAGGCAAGCUUCAAUGCCAUACAACUCUCCUUCCGUGGCCUCCAAUUGCUCUUAAAUACAAGUAAAACUAAAUGCAUGCUCUUCAACCGAUCGCUACCUGUACCUACCCGCCUGUCCAACAUUACUACUCUGGACGGCUCUGACUUAGAAUACGUGGACAACUACAAAUACUUAGGUGUCUGGUUAGAUUGUGAACUCUCCUUCCAGACCCAUGUCAAACAUCUCCAAUCCAAAGUUAAAUCUAGAAUUGGCUUCCUAUUUCGCAACAAAGCAUCCUUCACUCAUGCUGCCAAACAUACCCUUGUAAAACUGACCAUCCUACCAAUCCUCGACUUUGGCGAUGUCAUUUACAAAAUAGCCUCCAAUACCCUACUCAACGAAUUGGAUGCAGUCUAUCACAGUGCAAUCCGUUUUGUCACCAAAGCCCCAUAUACUACCCACCAUUGUGACCUGUACGCUCUCGUUGGCUGGCCCUCGCUUCAUACUCGUCGCCAAACCCACUGGCUCCAUGUCAUCUACAAGACCCUGCUAGGUAAAGUCCCCCCUUAUCUCAGCUCGCUGGUCACCAUUGCAUCUCCCACCUGCAGCACACGCUCCAGCAGGUAUAUCUCUCUAGUCACCCCCAAAACCAAUUCUUUCUUUGGCCGCCUCUCCUUCCAGUUCUCUGCUGCCAAUGACUGGAACGAACUACAAAAAUCUCUGAAACUGGAAACACUUAUCUCCCUCACUAGCUUUAAGCACCAACUGUCAGAGCAGCUCACAGAUUACUGCACCUGUACAUAUUCCACCUAUAAUUUAGCCCAAACAACUACCUCUUUCCCUACUGUAUUUAAUUUAAUUAUUUAUUUUGCUCCUUUGCACCCCAUUAUUUUUAUUUCUACUUUGCACAUUCUCCCAUUGCAAAUCUCCCAUUGCAAAUCUACCAUUCCAGUGUUUUACUUGCUAUAUUGUAUUUACUUUGCCACCAUGGCCUUUUUGCCUUUACCUCCCUUAUCUCACCUCAUUUGCUCACAUCGUAUAUAG
rnacentral:lncRNA from 1 species